rnacentral:rRNA from 1 species
UGCCAGCCGCCGCGGUAACACGAACCGUACGAACGUUAUUCGGAAUCACUGGGCUUAAAGAGUCCGUAGGCGGCUAGGAAGGUGAGGUGUGAAAUCCCACGGCUCAACCGUGGAACUGCGCUUCAAACCACUUGGCUAGAGGGAGAUAGAGGAGAGCGGAACUCACGGUGGAGCGGUGAAAUGCGUUGAUAUCGUGAGGAACACCGGUGGCGAAAGCGGCUCUCUGGGUCUCUUCUGACGCUGAGGGACGAAAGCUAGGGGAGCGAACGGGAUUAGAUA